rnacentral:rRNA from 1 species
CGUAGGGUGCAAGCGUUAAUCGGAAUUACUGGGCGUAAAGCGUGCGCAGGCGGUGAUGUAAGACAGGUGUGAAAUCCCCGGGCUUAACCUGGGAACUGCAUUUGUGACUGCAUCGCUGGAGUGCGGCAGAGGGGGGUGGAAUUCCGCGUGUAGCAGUGAAAUGCGUAGAUAUGCGGAGGAACACCGAUGGCGAAGGCAAUCCCCUGGGCCUGCACUGACGCUCAUGCACGAAAGCGUGGGGAGCAAACAGGAUUAGAUACCCUGGUAGUCCACGCCCUAAACGAUGUCAACUGGUUGUUGGGUCUUCACUGACUCAGUAACGAAGCUAACGCGUGAAGUUGACCGCCUGGGGAGUACGGCCGCAAGGUUG